rnacentral:rRNA from 1 species
GACGAACGCUGGCGGCGUGCUUAACACAUGCAAGUCGAACGGUGAAGCGCCUUCCUUUUUGGUGGGUGUGGAUGAGUGGCGAACGGGUGAGUAACACGUGAGUAACCUGCCCCCUUCUUCUGGAUAACCGCAUGAAAGUGUGGCUAAUACGGGAUAUUCUGGGUCUGUCGCAUGAUGGGUCUGGGAAAGAUAUUGUUUCGGUGGGGGAUGGGCUCGCGGCCUAUCAGCUUGUUGGUGGGGUGAUGGCCUACCAAGGCGGUGACGGGUAGCCGGCCUGAGAGGGUGGACGGUCACACUGGGACUGAGACACGGCCCAGACUACUACGGGAGGCAGCAGUGGGGAAUAUGGCACAAUGGGCGCAAGCCUGAUGCAGCGACGCCGCGUGAGGGAUGGAGGCCUUCGGGUUGUGAACCUCUUUCGCCAGUGAAGCAGGCCUGCCUCGUUUGUGGGUGGGUUGACGGUAGCUGGAUAAGAAGCGCCGGCUAACUACGUG